rnacentral:piRNA from 1 species
UAAUAAUAAGCCCUUGAACCCUGAGUGA